rnacentral:rRNA from 1 species
CCUACGGGAGGCUGCAGUGAGGAAUAUUGGUCAAUGGACGGAAGUCUGAACCAGCCAUGCCGCGUGAAGGAUGAAGGCGUUCUGCGUUGUAAACUUCUUUUAUCUGGGAAGAAACCACAGUAUUCUUAUUGUGUUGACGGUACCAGAGGAAUAAGCACCGGCUAACUCCGUGCCAGCAGCCGCGGUAAUACGGAGGGUGCAAGCGUUAUCCGGAUUUACUGGGUUUAAAGGGUGUGUAGGCGGACAUUUAAGUCUGGGGUGAAAUCUCCGAGCUC